UGGGGAAUUUUGGACAAUGGGCGAAAGCCUGAUCCAGCAAUGCCGCGUGUGUGAAGAAGGCCUUCGGGUUGUAAAGCACUUUUGUCCGGAAAGAAAUCCUCUGGGUUAAUACCUCGGGGGAUGACGGUACCGGAAGAAUAAGCACCGGCUAACUACGUGCCAGCAGCCGCGGUAAUACGUAGGGUGCAAGCGUUAAUCGGAAUUACUGGGCGUAAAGCGUGCGCAGGCGGUUUUGUAAGACGGAUGUGAAAUCCCCGGGGCUUAACCUGGGAACUGCAUUCGUGACUGCAAGGCUAGAGUAUGGCAGAGGGGGGUAGAAUUCCACGUGUGAGCAGUGAAAUGCGUAGAGAUGUGGAGGAAUACCGAUGGCGAAGGCAGCCCCCUGGGCCAAUACUGACGCUCAUGCACGAAAGCGU
rnacentral:rRNA from 1 species